ensembl:vault_RNA Vault Vault RNA
GCGUCAGUGUAGCUGCGUGGUUACUUCGUGAAUCUAUCCGCUGACUUUCGAGUCUUGGGUUCGAACCACUGGUGCCGUCUGACGUUUUA